AACAGUUCACACAUGAGCAAACUGAGAUUCAAAGACGUUAAGGAUUAUAACUUGCCUUAUGCAGGACAGCUGGGAUUCUAACGCCUGCGUUCAUGCUCUUUCCCUACACCACCCUGCAGCUACCCCAUCUCGGAGAGUGCAGGGCGGCUGGCAGACGGCAGCUUUCUGCUCUGGCUCCAUGUAGGGAGGAAAGCUGUGUGCAGGUGAGAUGCAGCCCUUACUUCGUGUGGCAGUGGAAGCUCCAGAACUGAUAUGAUCCGGACAAUUGUUACCUGCGCUCAAUGAGACUACUGGGAGCCUGGACGGAAGGGGGAUUUGCGGAUAAGACAGGGAGUCUUCCUAAGGAAGUGAACACCAAAGACUCAGAGAUGAACACUUACAUACUGAAUUAGACAAAGAAUAAGUU